rnacentral:rRNA from 1 species
CCUUAGUACGGCGAGUGAAGCGGCAAAAGCUCAAAUUUGAAAUCUGGUACCUUCGGUGCCCGAGUUGUAAUUUGGAGAGGGCAACUUUGGGGCCGUUCCUUGUCUAUGUUCCUUGGAACACGAC